AUGAGAUGAAAUGUAACGUUAGGAGAAUGAAUGUGCUGCCAAAAAUCUGCAGAAACUAUGUAAUAGUGACGAGCUGUCAAGGACCAAGAACCCUGUGGUCUCAAGUGAUACUGGCUAGGCAUACCUAAUAAAGUGGCUGUAUGUGUAUUUCUCUCUUUUUUUUUUUUUUCCUGCUUACUAUUCGUAAUGGAUGUCACUGGGUCAAGGACACACACAAUGAGAAAUAAUUCAUUUUAAAGUGAUUGUGUUCACAUAUAAUCUGAAUCAGAAUCCCGAAAUGUAAUCCACAUGUCAAGGAAGCUUUGCAGUUGCCUUUCAGGAAGCACAAUGGCUGCCAGCCGGCGACAGAUGCAUACAAGGGAAGAUUUGCUGUGCUCGGGCUUUUCCGAGACGGCCAGCCGUGGCCUGUCAAAGCUGCCCUCUUCGAUAAAGGAUGGACCGUGCUUGGACGUCGUAACGUUGUUUUUAGGUAGCAGUUUUGAACGGCAGCCAGCGGACCAAAGUCGCAUCACUGUCAGUGAGACAAUCUCCUUCAGAUGUCCCGCUGAGGAAGCACGUGGGUGUCCGCUGAAGGGUACAACGUGGACAGGGUGCCAGUCCGUGCCCAGGACGAGACGUCGGUCCGUUGCAAGGCAGCCCCAGGAAGGCUCGAAUCCCAGACCCGCCACACAGCGGGCACCGGUUGAACCUGCCAUGCCACCACACUUGUCCCUCCCCCCACUAAAGCAAAAGUCAACUCAAUUUAUUGCCAUGAAGCACUUCUCUCAGCUUGCUGAGUAACUGUGUGUUGAACAAUAGAGCAUGGAUUGUUGACACAUUACUGACAAAAAAAUAGACAAACUAAACACAGAAUCCAGUAUACAAACACACUGCAAUGCACCAUCUGGCAACUGAGGAGAGGAAAAUAAAAAAAAAACAACCUGGCA
rnacentral:lncRNA from 1 species